rnacentral:lncRNA from 1 species
UAAAACAACAAAACAUGUCACGGAAGAAAUCAUAUUUUCCAGAGUGAAGUGGAGGAAUCAGAUGUGACUGUCUGUGGGACACGAACUAACCUGGGAGAGGCGACCCUAUUUCCUGAUUUAGGCUUUUCCCUGGUCAAUCUCCCACUGUGACCUCAGAGACCAUAAAUGAUCUUUGUUUUCUUCAGAGAAGAACAAGGAGGUAGUUGAUUUAGAGGCUGCUGGACUGGUCCAAUUUUCAGAACAAGUGAUUUAUUGUGGAUCUUCCAGAAUUGCUCUUUUAAUAAGUUUUCUUUUGUUUUUAAGGAAGAGCCAUGAUAAGUGGGAUUUCUGGUCCUCUGACCAAGCAGAUGAAAAUUACCAAAGGACAAGCAACACCGGCUUUCCGAAUCCCACUUCUGCCCAGAAGAAGAAGAAGAAGAAAAUUGGAUUCUGCUGAAAUCUAAGAAGGACACAGAGCUGCAGUGUUGUUUUGUUCCCGUUGAAGGUGAACUUCAUCAAUCAGUUGGAAGCCUUAAGAGCAAAGACAGGUUUCCCAAAGAAGGAAUUGAGCUUCACAGCUGCAACACAGAAAUUCUGCCCAAGGUUCCAACAUACCUGGCCUGCCCUGUAGAAUUCGCACUCAAGAUUGCAACACCGACUCUUAGCUGAAUAUCCAGCCUGCCAGUCUGCCCUGCAAAUUUCAAACUUUCCAACCCCCAUAAUCACUUGAGCAUAAAAUAAAAUAAAAUGUCUGAAAAUAAAAUAGAAUUCCUUAAAAUAAAAUAAGAUAUUGGUUCUUUUUCUUUGGAGAACUCUAAUACAAACAGGAAGAUAAAUCUUCUCUCCUCAUCCAUUAAGUCAUA